rnacentral:rRNA from 1 species
CCUACGGGUGGCAGCAGUGAGGAAUAUUGGUCAAUGGACGAGAGUCUGAACCAGCCAAGUAGCGUGAAGGAUGACUGCCCUAUGGGUUGUAAACAUCUUUUAUAAAGGAAUAAAACGAGGCACGUGUGCCUUUUUGCAUGUACUUUAUGAAUAAGGAACGGCUAACACCGUGCCAGCAGCCGCGGUAAUACGGAGGGUCCGAGCGUUAUCUGGAUUUAUGGGGGUGAAAGGCAGCGUAGAUGGGUGUGUAAGUCAGUUGUGAAAUUUUGCGGCUCAACCGUAAAAUUGCAAUUGAUACUGGCAGUCUUGAGUACAGGUGAGGUAAGCGGAAUUCGUGGUGUAGCGGUGAAAUGCUUAGAUAUCACGAAGAACCCCGAUUGCGAAGGCAGCUUACUAAACUGUGACUGACAUUGAUGCUCGAAAGUGUGGGUAUCAAACAGGAUUAGAUACCCGUGUAGUC